rnacentral:rRNA from 1 species
GACGGGGGAUGCGAGCGUUAUCCGGAAUUAUUGGGCGUAAAGAGCUUGUAGGCGGUUUGUCGCGUCUGCCGUGAAAAUUCGAGGCUCAACCUCGAACUUGCGGUGGGUACGGGCAGACUAGAGUGUGGUAGGGGAGACUGGAAUUCCUGGUGUAGCGGUGAAAUGCGCAGAUAUCAGGAGGAACACCGAUGGCGAAGGCAGGUCUCUGGGCCACUACUGACGCUGAGAAGCGAAAGCAUGGGGAGCGAACAGG